rnacentral:lncRNA from 1 species
GUUUGUUCUCAGGAUGACACCAGCUCUGUGAUGAUCUUGUUAAUAAUAAAGAAAAAAAAGGGGGGAGGAUAAUGAUUAGAGAUAUAAAAUUAUAGAAAUUGAACUGAACCUCUGUAACUGAACCAAGCAAACUCCAGGAGUUGCUGAUGGACAGAGAAGCCUGGUGUGGUGUAGUUCACAAGAUUGUAAAGAGUCAGACGUGGCUGAACGACUGAACUGAACUGAACUCUAUAGCUGAAGUGAAAGCUCCAGGACAUGCAUGAUCUUUGUUUUCCGACGAUGCGUGGAACCCAACAUUCUGCAUUUUGGAAGGUGGAGUCUUAACCGCUGGACCGCCAAGACAGUCCCUGCAUCAGUAUUGUUGAAUUUCAAGUCAAGACUCAUGUCCUGGCUUCGUGUGUGUACCAUGCUGGUGUGGUCUCCUAGUCAAACUGGAUUCUGUAAGUAUUGGGGGUUUGUGCAUUAUAGCCACGAGUUCAUCUUCCAUCUGCAUUGUCUUCCUGCAACUUAAACUUCUCAGAUUUCAGCUCAUCU